rnacentral:rRNA from 1 species
GACGUAGGGCGCGAGCGUUGUCCGGAUUUAUUGGGCGUAAAGAGCUCGUAGGCGGCUUGUUGCGUCGGCUGUGAAAACCCGUGGCUUAACUGCGGGCUUGCAGCUGAUACGGGCGGGCUAGAGUUCGGCAGGGGAGACUGGAAUUCCUGGUGUAGCGGUGAAAUGCGCAGAUAUCAGGAGGAACACCGGUGGCGAAGGCGGGUCUCUGGGCCGAUACUGACGCUGAGGAGCGAAAGCGUGGGGAGCGAACAGG